AUGGCGUGGGCAGCCUUCGACCAUUUCACCUCCAUCAUUGGUCAUGGUGUCGCACACGAAUUCAGCCUCAACCUUGGUGCCCUGGACCCUUGUCGCUUCGACUUGGCUGAGCUAGACUGACUGUUCACUAAAGACGAGAUUUGUUCUGCUGUUAAAUUGCUCCCGCUUGGCAAAGCACCCGACCCGGACGGGUUCACCGCUGAGUUCCUGUGAGCAUGCUGGGGCACAAUCAAUGGGGACAUUUGUGCUGCCUUCGACAAGAUCUUC
rnacentral:rRNA from 1 species